AAACGACUCUCGGCAACGGAUAUCUUGGCUCUCGCAUCGAUGAAGAACGCGGCAAAAUGCGAUACUUGGUGUGAAUUGCAGAAUCCCGUGAACCAUCGAGUUUUUGAACGCAAGUUGCGCCCGAAGCCAUUAUGCUGAGGGCACGUCUGCCUGGGCGUCACGC
rnacentral:rRNA from 1 species